rnacentral:rRNA from 1 species
AUUGAACGCUGGCGGCAUGCUUUAUACAUGCAAGUCGAACGGUAACAGGCCGCAAGGUGCUGACGAGUGGCGAACGGGUGAGUAAUGCAUCGGAACGUGCCCAGUCUUGGGGGAUAACGCAGCGAAAGCUGCGCUAAUACCGCAUACGAUCUAUGGAUGAAAGCGGGGGACCUGUAAGGGCCUCGCGCGCAUGGAGCGGCCGAUGUCAGAGUAGGUAGUUGGUGGGGUAAAGGCUCACCAAGGCGACGAUCUGUAGCUGGUCUGAGAGGACGACCAGCCACACUGGGACUGAGACACGGCCCAGACUCCUACGGGAGGCAGCAGUGGGGAAUUUUGGACAAUGGGCGCAAGCCUGAUCCAGCAAUGCCGCGUGCAGGAAGAAGGCCUUCGGGUUGUAAACUGCUUUUGUACGGAACGAAACGGCUCUAGUUAAUACCUGGGGCUAAUGACGGUACCGUAAGAAUAAGCACCGGCUAACUACGUGCCAGCAGCCGCCGUAAGAC